AAUCGUGCAGAGUCACAGGGUUCCGUACGAAGGACUCUUCUCUGCAUAAUUUGUGUAAAUUAUUUAGGCUGCAACCCAGAAUUCUAAAAUGCGCAUUCACAGCAAGAGCCCCAUGUAUGGCUAGUGAUUAGCCUUUUGGUUCAUUUCUGUGGAUGCACGGAGAGAAAGGACAUUACAGUUGUGUCGUGUGCACUCAACACUACUAAAAUUUAUUGGCUGAUACAUGAGCGGUACUGUUUAAUGCUUGCAGAUGCAGCCACUGCACUAGCAGAAGUGCCUACAACUGGUGCAGUUGAAGUAGGCGAGCGUGCUAAAUCUUUGCCUGAGCGGACCUCCGAUGCUUCAACCAUAGAAGCUGCGGUGCCUGACACGCCUACCACGAAGGUCACGUCAAAGGGGUCGCAUCCGCCAAGUGCCGAUGCAUCAAUGAACACUAUUCCAUGCGUUCAAGACAGAGAGGUUCAGACAGAGGUCAAAAAGGAGUACAUUGAUUCUGUGGAAGCUGACAAGGAGCUGCGGCUUGAAUUAUCAAGGCUAAAGGAACGAUUCGACAGCCUCAAAUUGACACAGUCAUCACUACAAAAAGAUGAGAAACGUGUGAACUUUUACACAGGGCUCCCAAGUUAUGCCAUGUUGUUAGCAAUGUUCAACAUUCUGGAAGGUAGCGUGUCACAUUGAGGAAGAAAUGUCCUGACCAAGUUUCACGAAUUCCUUGUGACUCUAAUAAGGUUAAGACUUGGAGUACCUCUACAGGACCUGGCCUAUAGGUUUUGUGUCAGUGAAGCCACAGUGACAAGGAUCUUAGAACGCUGGCUUGAUGCCAUGCAUGUUCGCCUGCACAGGCUUGUGGAGUGAACAGAACGUGAGGAGCUGCAACUAACCAUGCCUGUGUGUUUUCGUAAAGCAUUUGGGACAAGGGUGGCUGUAAUAAUUGAUUGCUU